rnacentral:rRNA from 2 species
CCUGACGACCAUAGCGAGCGUGAACCACCCGAUCCCAUGCCGAACUCGGAAGUGAAACCGCUUAGCG